UAUGAUAGAGGAGCGGAUGACAUCAGUAAGCGCCUUCCCGGGCCGGGCAGCCCGGCGCUGAAAGGGGAUUCCGCCGAGGUACUGCGGCCCGCCCGACGCCGCAAUGCCGGGCCGCCGGUCAACAACCGGCGGACUGUCACGAAAGUGGAGCGCUGUC
rnacentral:ncRNA from 1 species